rnacentral:misc_RNA from 1 species
AAAAAAACUGCAAGCAGGAAAUAUCAUGCUCAAAAUCUUGAGCAGUCGGACUGAUUAUGUACCUCGAAUAAUACUGUUUUCAAGCAGUGUUGUGUUCCUGUAGUGAAUAAGAUGACCAGAGCUCCUAGGAGUAGGGUUGGCACCGUGCUUGCGAAGCUUCUAGAGUUGCAGGCGUGUCAUCAAAUCCUAUCUAAGAACACUUGCGUUAUCAAGACGAAUCUAAUGAUAUCUUAAUUAUAUAAAUCCGUUCAGCGCUUUAGAAAAUGUUUCUCAUAUUU